AACCCCGGAUGCCCUCCGUCGUCAUCCUUAGAAGGCGCUUACCCGCUUUCGGACUGCCUCGUUGCGGCGCACUCACUACUUCCAAAAGCCUAGCAUUUCGAGACAACGGUUCCUCUUGCAGAAGAUCUCAUUGACGAUCCUCACUGCCAUGAACUCUUCUUUCGGGGCCGAUUGAUGCACGGUCGUCGGCGCCAUUAUG
rnacentral:rRNA from 1 species